AUGGAGCCGACCUUGAAAUACCACCCUUUAAUGUUUGAUGUUCUAACGUUGACCCGUAAUCCGGGUUGCGGACAGUGUCUGGUGGGUAGUUUGACUGGGGCGGUCUCCUCCUAAAGAGUAACGGAGGAGCACGAAGGUUGGCUAAUCCUGGUCGGACAUCAGGAGGUUAGUGCAAUGGCAUAAGCCAGCUUGACUGCGAGCGUGACGGCGCGAGCAGGUG
rnacentral:rRNA from 1 species